rnacentral:rRNA from 1 species
GCGCAGCAGUCGCGAAAACUCCGCAAUACGCGAAAGCGUGACGGGGCUACCCCGAGUGUCGUCCGCUGAGGACGACUUUUCCACGCUGUAAGGAGGCGUGGGAAUAAGGAGAGGGCAAGUCUGGUGUCAGCCGCCGCGGUAAUACCAGCUCUCCGAGUGGUAGGGACGAUUAUUGGGCUUAAAGCGUCCGUAGCUGGCCUUUCAAGUCUCUUGUUAAAUCCAGCGAUUCAAUCGUUGGACUGCGGGAGAUACUGUUAGGCUAGGGAGCGUGAGAAGCCGACGGUAUUUCCGGGGUAGGGGUAAAAUCCUAUAAUCCCGGGAGGACCACCAGUGGCGAAGGCUGUUGGCUAGAACACGCCCGACGGUGAGGGAUGAAAGCUGGGGGAGCGAACCGGAUUAGAUACCCGUGUAGUCC